GAUUAACGCUAGCGGCAGGCCUAAUACAUGCAAGUCGAACGGCAGCACGGGUAGCAAUACCUGGUGGCGAGUGGCGCACGGGUGCGUAACGCGUAUGCAAUCUACCUGUAACUGGGGAAUAGCCUUCCGAAAGGAAGAUUAACACCGCAUAAAAUCACGAAGCGGCAUCGUUUUGUGAUCAAAUCUCCGGAGGUUACAGAUGAGCAUGCGUGACAUUAGCUAGUUGGUGAGGUAACGGCCCACCAAGGCUACGAUGUCUAGGGGGUCUGAGAGGAUGAUCCCCCACACUGGUAC
rnacentral:rRNA from 1 species